rnacentral:rRNA from 1 species
UUCGUAGGUGACCUGCGGAGGAUCAUUACCGAGUGCGGGUCCUUUGGGCCCAACCUCCCAUCCGUGUCUAUUAUACCCUGUUGCUUCGGCGGGCCCGCCGCUUGUCGGCCGCCGGGGGGGCGCCUUUGCCCCCCGGGCCCGUGCCCGCCGGAGACCCCAACACGAACACUGUCUGAAAGCGUGCAGUCUGAGUUGAUUGAAUGCAAUCAGUUAAAACUUUCAACAAUGGAUCUCUUGGUUCCGGCAUCGAUGAAGAACGCAGCGAAAUGCGAUAACUAAUGUGAAUUGCAGAAUUCAGUGAAUCAUCGAGUCUUUGAACGCACAUUGCGCCCCYGGUAUUCCGGGGGGCAUGCCUGUCCGAGCGUCAUUGCUGCCCUCAAGCCCGGCUUGUGUGUUGGGUCGCCGUCCCCCUCUCCGGGGGGACGGGCCCGAAAGGCAGCGGCGGCACCGCGUCCGAUCCUCGAGCGUAUGGGGCUUUGUCACAUGCUCUGUAGGAUUGGCCGGCGCCUGCCGACGUUUUCCAACCAUUUUUUCCAGGUUGACCUCGGAUCAGGUAGGGAUACCCGCUGAACUUAAGCAUAUCAAUAAGCGGAGGAAAAGAAACCAACCGGGAUUGCCUCAGUAACGGCGAGUGAAGCGGCAAGAGCUCAAAUUUGAAAGCUGGCUCCUUCGGAGUCCGCAUUGUAAUUUGCAGAGGAUGCUUUGGGUGCGGCCCCCGUCUAAGUGCCCUGGAACGGGCCGUCAGAGAGGGUGAGAAUCCCGUCUUGGGCGGGGUGUCCGUGCCCGUGUAAAGCUCCUUCGACGAGUCGAGUUGUUUGGGAAUGCAGCUCUAAAUGGGUGGUAAAUUUCAUCUAAAGCUAAAUACUGGCCGGAGACCGAUAGCGCACAAGUAGAGUGAUCGAAAGAUGAAAAGCACUUUGAAAAGAGAGUUAAACAGCACGUGAAAUUGUUGAAAGGGAAGCGCUUGCGACCAGACUCGCCCGCGGGGUUCAGCCGGCAUUCGUGCCGGUGUACUUCCCCGUGGGCGGGCCAGCGUCGGUUUGGGCGGCCGGUCAAAGGCCCCUGGAAUGUAGUACCCUCCGGGGUACCUUAUAGCCAGGGGUGCAAUGCGGCCAGCCUGGACCGAGGAACGCGCUUCGGCACGACG